AUCUGAAAUUUGCCCUCACCAUUCACUUGAGACUUGAGAGAAUGAGAGCCAAACAAACACAAGCAAGCUCUGUGAGAACAUUUGAGCUCGUCCCUGUUUUAUUCCAUAAAUCAGCUAAUGGAGUGAAAGUUGAUCCCAGGGCUAAAAAAGACUCUAACAAGGAGGGAAAUCCAAGCUGAUGCUGCAAAUGUGGAUCUGAGAUCUCGGUGUCCAUAUUUCUCUGAAUUUGGCUAUAAUAAGUCUUCCUGUUGUUAAAGAUGGUAACAUGGAAAAUACCUACAGGCCUUAUGUUUGAGGGAGGCUUUAAUUUUCAUAACUUUUGCCUGACCGCUUGAUGGGCAUUGUGGAUCCAUUUUUUCUAAAAGAUGAUAAAGAGUUGUCUUUCUACAAACCGUAGCAAGAGAGAAACAAAUAUCAACAGCAGAAAAGAAUGUCUUAAUUUUAUGGUAAGGAUUGGAGUCGGAUGUUGGAUGGAGUCACCACAAUGAACAUAACGGAUGUUGUCCAUGAAUUGCUAUCAGCCAGGAACAUCCUUCUAGAACCUAAGGCAAGGAGGUAAGAUUCCAAAGAUUUAAAUAACUUCACUUGCUGAUAAUUACGUAAAUUGUCCUGUAAUUUGGCAAUAUUCUUUAAAUU